GAUGAACGCUGGCGGCGUGCCUAAUACAUGCAAGUCGAGCGAACAGACGAGGAGCUUGCUCCUCUGACGUUAGCGGCGGAAGGGUGAGUAACACGUGGAUAACCUACCUAUAAGACUGGGAUAACUUCGGGAAACCGGAGCUAAUACCGGAUAAUAUAUUGAACCGCAUGGUUCAAUAGUGAAAGACGGUUUUGCUGUCAAUUAUAGAUGGAUCCGCGCCGCAUUAGCUAGUUGGUAAGGUAACGGCUUACCAAGGCAACGAUGCGUAGCCGACCUGAGAGGGUGAUCGGCCACACUGGAACUGAGACACGGUCCAGACUCCUACGGGAGGCAGCAGUAGGGAAUCUUCCGCAAUGGGCGAAAGCUUGACGGAGCAACGCCGCGUGAGUGAUGAAGGUCUUCGGAUCGUAAAACUCUGUUAUUAGGGAAGAACAAAUGUGUAAGUAACUAUGCACGUCUUGACGGUACCUAAUCAGAAAGCCACGGCUAACUACGUG
rnacentral:rRNA from 1 species